rnacentral:rRNA from 1 species
AGUGAACGCUGGCGGUAGGCCUAACACAUGCAAGUCGAACGGCAGCACAGUAAGAUCUUGCUCUUACGGGUGGCGAGUGGCGGACGGGUGAGGAAUACAUCGGCAUCUACUUUUUCUUGGGGGAUAACGUAGGGAAACUGACGCUAAUACCGCAUACUAUCUACGGCUUAAAGCAGGGGAUCUUCGCACCUUUCGCGAUUCAUUUAGCCGAUGUCGGAUUAGCUAGUUGGCGGGGUAAAGGCCCACCAAGGCGACGAUCCGUAGCUGGUCUGAGAGGAUGAUCAGCCACACUGGAACUGAGACACGGUCCAGACUCCUACGGGAGGCAGCAGUGGGGAAUAUUGGACAAUGGGCGCAAGCCUGAUCCAGCCAUACCGCGUGGGUGAAGAAGGCCUUCGGGUUGUAAAGCCCUUUUGUUGGGAAAGAAAAGCAGCAGGUUAAUACCCCGCUGUUCUGACGGUACCCAAAGAAUAAGCACCGGCUAACUUCGUG